rnacentral:rRNA from 1 species
GAUGAACGCUGGCGGCGUGCUUAACACAUGCAAGUCGAACGAAGCACUUAAGAUUGAUUCUUCGGAUGAAGUCUUUUGUGACUGAGUGGCGGACGGGUGAGUAACGCGUGGGUAACCUGCCUCAUACAGGGGGAUAACAGUUAGAAAUGACUGCUAAUACCGCAUAAGCGCACAGGACCGCAUGGUCUGGUGUGAAAAACUCCGGUGGUAUGAGAUGGACCCGCGUCUGAUUAGCUAGUUGGUGAGGUAACGGCCCACCAAGGCGACGAUCAGUAGCCGACCUGAGAGGGUGAUCGGCCACAUUGGGACUGAGACACGGCCCAAACUCCUACGGGAGGCAGCAGUGGGGAAUAUUGCACAAUGGGGGAAACCCUGAUGCAGCGACGCCGCGUGAAGGAAGAAGUAUUUCGGUAUGUAAACUUCUAUCAGCAGGGAAGAAAAUGACGGUACCUGACUAAGAAGCCCCGGCUAACUACGUGCCAGCAGCCGCGGUAAUACGUAGGGGGCAAGCGUUAUCCGGAUUUACUGGGUGUAAAGGGAGCGUAGGCGGUCUGACAAGUCAGAAGUGAAAGCCCGGGGCUCAACCCCGGGACUGCUUUUGAAACUGCCGGACUAGAUUGCAGGAGAGGUAAGUGGAAUUCCUAGUGUAGCGGUGAAAUGCGUAGAUAUUAGGAGGAACACCAGUGGCGAAGGCGGCUUACUGGACUGUAAAUGACGCUGAGGCUCGAAAGCGUGGGGAGCAAACAGG